rnacentral:lncRNA from 1 species
UGGCAGGAGUUCUGAGUCCCUUGUGCUCCUUUGGUGACAGCUUAUAGAAGUUGUCAUGGCUAUUCAGGUACAUUCUACAAAGGGCAUAGUUACCUAUCUAAUAACACAGUUAACUCAGAGUUGCCCAAAUCAGCAGUAUUCUAGAAGAUGGACCUGGCUCCUAGCAGUUCAGCCCCCUCAGUAUUUCCCUGACUGAUGGUGCCAUGGAGUUGGCAUGGAGAGAUGCCUGCUGCAUUUUUCAAGCCACUGUCUGGAGGACACUCAAUGAAACGAUUCCUGUAGCGUGGGCAGAUAAGGAGCACCUCACAUCCCCAGAGAGUACAGCAGCACUCACUUCAGCAGGCCUAAGACAGCAACUGUCUCCAUCUCCCCAGACCCUGCCAGCAUGGGGCCAGCACCUCCACAGGCUGGAAGCGGCUGUUCUCCAAGUGGCGAUGAAGACAGCUUUAAUGGGCUUACAGUCACGUGUCCCUCAAAGGCCAGCCCCCCUGGACGGCUGUUUGCAAACUCCUCUCCAAAGCUGCUUCCCUUGAAGAGAGUUGCUACACAAUCAUUACAAAUUGAUUGCAAAAGAGCUAACAAUCAUGAUUAAAUCAUUAAAUUCUUGUCUACGCUUCAGAGAGCGGUGAGAAAAUUAACUUCCCACCAACCUAAUUUUUUCCUGAACAUGAAAUAAUGAUUUUCUGCCCGUCUAAUUACAAAGCCAAC